AUGCCCGCCCCCACCCCCUGCAAGCUCCACCCUCACCCACCAUCCCCCCCCCCCCCCCCCCCCCCCCCCCCCCCGUGCCCCCCGUGCCGGUACCUGCUGGCGGUACCCCUCCUGCAGCGGCCCCUCGCUCAGCUCCCGGCUGAGGCUCUCGGGGGGGCCGAGGGGGCGGGCGCCGGCGGCGCGGGCGGCGCGACCCACGGCUUCGGCCAGCAGCAAGGGGGGGCCCUCGGCCUGCAUGGUCUGGGUGGGGGGGAGGAAGGAGGCGGUCAGCGGGGUGGGGCUGGGGCGGGGCGGGGCGGGGACGGGGCGCGGCCCCACCUUGCGGCGCUUGGCGGGCAUGCCGGUCAGGUAGGCAUCGCUGAGGGGCGGCUGCUGCUUCACCUUGCGCUGGGUCUGGAUGUCCUCGCGGAUGAUGGGCACCCACUCCUGGGGGGGAGAGGGGUGGGUCGGGCCGCUCAGCACCCCACACCCCCUCACAUCCCACCCCGACACCCCCCGUCCCUCCACUCACCGGGGGCACGGCGGCUGCCCAGGGCUCGCUCUCGGGGGGCAGGGCCUCCUCCGCCGUGGUGGCGGGGGCCGGGGAACCGGCGCCGUCCCGCUGGGGGGGGGACGGAGGGAAGGGGGGGGGGGUCAGGGAGAGGGGCCGGGGUAGGCCACGCCUCCCCCAAGCUCCACCCCUGCCGGCAAGUCUGCCCCCGCCCCAAGUCCCGUCUACCUGCGCUUCCUCCGGGGGCGGCUCCGCCUCCUGCAUGUCCAUUGGCUCCUCGGGCAGCGGCUGGGGACGGGGGAGUGGUCAGCGGGAGGAGGGGCCCGGGAGGGUGGGGGGUUACAGGAGGGCGUGGCAUUACCCACUGGGGUGUGGUUGGCAGGGUUUUCUGCACAGGGGGCGUGGUUACCCGGGGGAGGGGGCAGAGCUGUCUGGAGGUGGGGUUUCUGCCGGGGGGGGCGAGGUUUUUUCAUUAGCAGUUGGGGUUUGCUGGCAGGGGGCGGGGUUACAUGGGGAGGCGGGGCUUCUGGGGCGGGGUUACAUGGGGAGGCGGGGCUUCUGAGGCAGGGUUACCUGGGGAGGCGGGGCUUUAUGGGCGGGGUUACCUGGGGAGGCGGGGCUUCUGGGGCGGGGUUACCCGGGGAGGCGGGGCUCCAGGUCGGGGGCGGGGUUACCUGGCGGGAGGCGGGCUCCCCGAGGCGGCGCACGUAGGGCAGGACCUGCUCCGGGGUGACGGGCAUCUGCUCCAGCACCGCCUGCAGCCGCAUCCCCACCACGGCCGUCAGCCAGCUCACCAGCGACGGGGAGACGUCCGCCGACAGCCGCCGCUGCGGGCACAGCGCACGUCGUGGGGGGGGGGGGGGCGACGGCAACGGGGGGGCGGGACCCGGGGGGGGGGGCCC
rnacentral:lncRNA from 1 species